CGGGGCUUAAUGUCUUGUAAUUGGAAUGAUGGGAAUUUAAACCUCUUCCAGAGUAUCAAUUGGAGGGCAAGUCUGGUGCCAGCAGCCGCGGUAAUUCCAGCUCCAAUAGCGUAUAUUAAAAUUGUUGCAGUUAAAAAGCUCGUAGUUGAAUUUCUGCUGCAUCGUUUCCUUCUUUUAUGUUGGUUUCGUUGUGGCUUAUUUCGGUUUGCUUUUUUGCUUUCCGGAUGAUUACUUUGAGAAAAUUAGAGUGCUCAAAGCAGGCUUUUGCCUUGAAUAGUUUAGCAUGGAAUAAUAAAGUAGGACUUUGGUUCUAUUUUGUUGGUUUUAGGUACCAAAGUAAUGGUUAAUAGGAACAGUUGGGGGCAUUCGUAUUUAACUGUCAGAGGUGAAAUUCUUAGAUUUGUUAAAGACGAACUACUGCGAAAGCAUUUGCCAAGGAUGUUUUCAUUAAUCAAGAAC
rnacentral:rRNA from 1 species